UUAUCUUCUUUGUCCAUAAGAUUUCCUCGACUACGACGGUCAUAUCUUCCAAGUCGUAACCCUAACGCUUCUGCUCCAGCUGUGAUACCGUAACGGUUGUUAAUGAUGACAUUCAAUCCCAGAAUUCCACUACCUCCUCUUUAAUUCAGCCUUACUGCCUUCUACAGUGUCAUCCAAUCUAUAUAAAUCCACACAAGCUGAAGGCAGGUCGAUGUAUCUAGACGGUUGAGACAUGAGUUUUACGUUUUUGAAAGGCACGAAAUAUCAAGAAAGGAGGCUAGCGAUGGGAGUCGACAUGAUUUUAUGAAAAGGCUUCCGUUGCGUUCAUCGCUCCGAAAAGUUGCGAUUUAUGAGACUGUGAUUGCUCUUUAUCAUUUGUUUUGUACGGAUCAAUAUAUAUCUGAAACCAAGCCUCUGAAUUAUGUGGCUGGAUCAAGGAUGAUUUUGUGGCUGAAGGAUUGAAAACAGUCAAGAAUAGGGCUCAAGUCGUCAAAGCUUUGGUACGGAGAGCUACUUCUCCAUACUGAGUCUGAUGAUUCUUCUCAGUAUCCCAGAUUGACCUCUCAGCUUUCCUUGCUAUCAACUUUGAGUCAAGCUGGUGAAUUGACUCUUCAGUCACUUUGCAAAAAAAAAAACCGAGAAAUCGAGGUUCACGUGUGAGUAGACACAGUGGGGAUCACAAAAGAAAUAUAUCCUCAGAGGUUGUUGAGCUCUUGCCUGAGAUGAACACCCUAUGGAUUUACUAGAUCAACGUUUCGGGGUCUUGCAGUGUUCCUGCAGCAUAACCGUGACGUAUCAAGACAUGACAUGCGCCACGUGGUGGAAGGAUGGCCGAUAGGUUCUGGACCAAAACAAGACUCUUAAACAAGGAGGCGCUAAAUAACUGGGCAAAUGACAAAGAUAUAGCGUAUGUCACAGCUGGAAUUUACAAGAAAAAGAGCUUGCCGACUUUGUAUGUUGAUGCAAACCGGGUUGGGAGCGUUGGCUAGACGAUUUCCUUUGAACGAUUUGAAUACCCGUCAGUGUAGACAUACUAUCGUCAUAUGGCUUCUUCGUUUCUAGGAAGAG